AUGUUAGAUAUAGACAGGUUAGAUACAGACAGGUUAGAUAUAGACAAGUUAGAUAUAGACAGGUUAGAUACAGACAGGUUAGAUAUAGACAAGUUAGAUAUAGACAAGUUAGAUAUAGACAGGUUAGAUAUAGACAGGUUAGAUAUAGACAGGUUAGAUACAGACAAGUUAGAUAUAGACAAGUUAGAUAUAGACAAGUUAGAUAUAGACAAGUUAGAUAUAGACAGGUUAGAUACAGACAGGUUAGAUACAGACAGGUUAGAUAUAGACAGGUUCGAUAUAGACAGGUUAGAUACAGACAAGUUAGAUAUAGACAAGCUAGAUGUAGACAGGUUAGAUACAGACAGGUUAGAUAUAGACAAGUUAGAUACAGACAGGUUAGAUAUAGACAGGUUAGAUAUAGACAAGUUAGAUAUAGACAGGUUAGAUACAGACAGGUUAGAUACAGACAGGUUAGAUAUAGACAGGUUAGAUGUUAGAUAUAGACAGGUUAGAUACAGACAGGUUAGAUACAGACAGGUUAGAUAUAGACAAGUUAGAUAUAGACAGGUUAGAUACAGACAGGUUAGAUAUAGACAAGUUAGAUAUAGACAAGUUAGAUAUAGACAGGUUAGAUAUAGACAGGUUAGAUACAGACAAGUUAGAUAUAGACAAGUUAGAUAUAGACAAGUUAGAUAUAGACAAGUUAGAUAUAGACAGGUUAGAUACAGACAGGUUAGAUACGACAUGUUAGAUAUAGACAGGUUCGAUAUAGACAGGUUAGAUACAGACAAGUUAGAUAUAGACAAGCUAGAUGUAGACAGGUUAGAUACAGACAGGUUAGAUAUAGACAAGUUAGAUACAGACAGGUUAGAUAUAGACAAGUUAGAUAUAGACAGGUUAGAUAUAGACAGGUUAGAUAUAGACAAGUUAGAUAUAGACAGGUUAGAUAUAGACAGGUUAGAUAUAGACAGGUUAGAUAUAGACAGGUUAGAUAUAGACAGGUUAGAUAUAGACAGGUUAGAUAUAGACAGGUUAGAUAUAGACAAGUUAGAUAUAGACAGGUUUAGAUACAGACAGGUUAGAUAUAGACAAGUUAGAUAUAGACAGGUUAGAUAUAGACAGGUUAGAUAUAGACAGGUUCGAUAUAGACAGGUUAGAUACAGACAAGUUAGAUAUAGACAAGCUAGAUGUAGACAGGUUAGAGUAUAG
rnacentral:lncRNA from 1 species